rnacentral:rRNA from 1 species
GACGAACGCUGGCGGCGUGCUUAACACAUGCAAGUCGAACGGAAAGGCCCUGCUUUUGUGGGGUGCUCGAGUGGCGAACGGGUGAGUAACAUGUGAGUAACCUGCCCUUGACUUUGGGAUAACUUCAGGAAACUGGGGCUAAUACCGGAUAGGAGCUCCUGCUGCAUGGUGGGGGUUGGAAAGUUUCGGCGGUUGGGGAUGGACUCGCGGCUUAUCAGCUUGUUGGUGGGGUAGUGGCUUACCAAGGCUUUGACGGGUAGCCGGCCUGAGAGGGUGACCGGCCACAUUGGGACUGAGAUACGGCCCAGACUCCUACGGGAGGCAGCAGUGGGGAAUAUUGCACAAUGGGCGGAAGCCUGAUGCAGCAACGCCGCGUGCGGGAUGACGGCCUUCGGGUUGUAAACCGCCUUCGCCUGUGACGAAGCGUGAGUGACGGUAAUGGGUAAAGAAGCACCGGCUAACUACGUG